rnacentral:tRNA from 1 species
ACUAGGGCAGUAUGACACGAUAUAUUUUGCUUACACCAAAAAGCAGGCCCCAAGCCCCCUAGUA